UCGCGGGGCGGACGGGCGCGGCUCCCGACAGGCACCGCGACGCACGCGGGCGGCUGCAGGAAAUGGCGGCGCGCGCAGGCGCCCACGGGCCGGAUGCUACCGCGCACCGCCCCGGCGCACUCCCGCGCAGGUGCGCACGGGCCGGCCUCGCGCCGAGACCGUGAGCGAGUCCGGAAUUCGCGCCCAGGCGCGCGGGGCGGGUGCACGCGUUCUGCGCGGCUGCGGACUGGGUCCCUUCUUUCUUCCCAAUGCACAACUUUCUGGCUUCCCAUAGAGGUCGUGAAGCUCUAGGACAAGGUCUGGGGCCACCAGAUGGAGUCCUGCCCCCGGUGUCAUGAUCUGCAGGUGGACGAUCUCCUCAGCUCUUGCACUGUGGCCAAAGGAGAGAGCCUGAGAGUCACUGGUCCCAGAGGAAGGGGAUGGAAGGAUCCCUUCACCCGUCUCCCAGCCUCAAUCCCAGCCUCCUUCAGACACAGCAGGGGGGCCUUCGGGGUACGAAUGGGACCACCCAGCCCCGAAGACGAUGCUGACAACCUGCCCAGAAACGAAUCCGACGAGGCACCAUGAGGUUG